AAAAACUACUACUUCAAGCUUUUUUGCUCGUUUGUUCAACUAACUCGAGACCUUUUGGUCUUCUUUUUUAUUUUUAGAUUUUUCUUAUCUCGAGACUGGGUCUUCAUUUUUCUCCUUCCUUUUUUCUAGAUUUUAAAUUUUCUUUCUUUUCUCUUUUUUUUCGAAAUUACAAUUAUGCAUCAAAAUGAUCAAGGGAGACUAUAUAAUCAUGCAUUCUUCAAAACUUAGCAACUUUAUUGACUCCUAGACUAGACCGAGUUAUAUGC
rnacentral:lncRNA from 1 species